rnacentral:rRNA from 1 species
GGUCCCCAAUGUCGUACUAAGUGGAAAAGGAUGUGGGGUUUCAUAAACAACCAGGAUGUUGGCUCAGAAGCAGCCACCAUUUAAAGAGUGCGUAAUAGCUCACUGGUCGAGAGACCCUGCGCCGAAGAUUCCCGGGGCUAAAGUACGAAACCGAAGCUGUGGCUGUAUACGUAAAGUAUACGGGGUAGGGGAGCGUUCCCAUAGGGUAGAAGUCGAACUGGAAGGUUCGGUGGACUUGUGGGAAGUGAGAAUGUUGGUAUGAGUAGCGAAAAGAAAGGUGAGAAUCCUUUCCACCGAAAGCAUAAGGAUUCCUGAGCAACGAUCGUCGUCUCAGGGUAAGUCGGGACCUAAUCCGAGGCAGAGAGCGUAGGAGAUGGACAACUGGUUGAUAUUCCAGUACCGGUAGUAAUUGUUUGAGCAAUGGAGUGACACAGAAGGGCAGGCAAGCAUGCGAAUGGAAGAGCAUGUGUAAGCGUGUAGGGUGGUGCAUAGGCAAAUCCGUGCACUGAAAGCCUGAGGCGUGAUGCGGAGUGAGCAGAGAUGCGAGCGAAGUUGUUGACCCCACACUGUCGAGAAAAGCUUCUAGUGAGAGAGCUACCGCCCGUACCGUAAACCGACACAGGUAUGCGGGGAGAGAAUCCUAAGGUGCGCGGGAAAACCCUCGUUAAGGAACUCGGCAAAAUGCCUCCGUAACUUCGGGAAAAGGAGGACUCAUGUAGUGUGAAGGGCAGUAACGCGUGGAGCAUGAAUGAGUGGCACAAGAGAGGCGCAAGCGACUGUUUACCACAAACACAGGUGCCUGCUAAAGCGAAAGCUGAUGUAUAGGUGCUGACACCUGCCCGGUGCUGGAAGGUUAAGAGGAGGGGUUAGACUUCGGUCGAAGCUCUGAAUUGAAGCCCCAGUAAACGGCGGCCGUAACUAUAACGGUCCUAAGGUAGCGAAAUUCCUUGUCGGGUAAGUUCCGACCCGCACGAAAGGUGUAACGACUUGCGCACUGUCUCAACGAGGGACCCGGUGAAAUUGAAGUACCUGUGAAGAUGCAGGUUACCCGCGACUGGACAGAAAGACCCCAUGGAGCUUUACUGUAACCUGACAUUGGGUUUUGAUACAUUACGUACAGGAUAGGUGGGAGGCUUGGAAAGCUGGACGCUAGUCUGGCUGGAGCCGACGUUGGGAUACCACCCUUGAUGUAUUGAAAUUCUAACCGCGAGAGUAACGAAAUCCGGGACAGUGUCAGGCGGGCAGUUUGACUGGGGCGGUCGCCUCCGAAAGAGUAACGGAGGCGCCCAAAGGUUCCCUCAGCGCGGCCGGAAAUCGCGCGAAGAGUGUAAAGGCAGAAGGGAGCUUGACUGCGAGACGGACAGGUCGAGCAGGGACGAAAGUCGGGCUUAGUGAUCCGGUGGUGCCGAGUGGAAGGGCCAUCGCUCAACGGAUAAAAGCUACCCUGGGGAUAACAGGCUAAUCUCUCCCAAGAGUCCAUAUCGACGGGGAGGUUUGGCACCUCGAUGUCGGCUCAUCACAUCCUGGGGCUGAAGUAGGUCCCAAGG